CAGUUCAGUUGCUCACUGAUAUUGGUGAAAUGACAACUAUAGAGACCAGUCUUCUGAAGAGAUGCCAAGAAAGCUUCCUAGACGUUUGGGUUCUCUACCCCGCCAUCCUCCUCCUGUUCUUCCUUCCUCUUAUUGUUCAAGUUCUCUACAUUUUGUGCCUACUCAGCCUUCCGCCUAUCGACAAGCCACACAGAUCAAUUCCAAUUCUGUUUUCUGGACUACUCAUUUCCCUUCUAUGAAGCAUACAGCCAUCUACUCCACUUUAACAGCCUGCUCACCCACCUUUUUCUCUGUUGCCAAAAGUUCCACUAAGUGUCCUGCUCUGAUUUCUCAUACUUCCUUUAAUGACAACUUUCCUUCCACUCCUCCUAACAGCCCUGUUGAAUCAUUCCCUAUUCUGUCAUACCCAGAAAGAAGGUACCUGCUGUCUGCCAGACAGAAUAAGACACAUUUUGAUCCCAGGAAGUAGAUUUAGCAGGCUGUCACUGGGAGAUACUGGAAGAAUCUACGAGAAACCAAUGUCUUCAGGAGACUACAGAGUCACCAGAAAACCAUACCUUCAAAACAUAACUUGGAUAGCAUUUUAUGUGAUUACUGGAAAUCAUUGUGGUCAUAGGGUACACGGAAGAAAUGCCUUGUGACAUAAAGACUAAAAUAAAGACCUGGUGGACAUUUGGCAACUUUAACCUGUCAGCACAUCUCAUAUCAAUUUCAGCACAUAUGACAAGAAGUGCAGCCUUGGGUAGUCCAUCAACAAACACAACUCAGACCCUUCUGGACACUUGAGAUGGAGGUUUUCAUCAGGACAACUUGAAAACUGUCUUUGUAUAAUCCAUAACUAUUCAUUAUUAUGGAUUUGGAUAUAGAGUCACUAAUAUUGGCAUUACAUAAAGAAACAAUGUAUA